rnacentral:rRNA from 1 species
UACGUAGGGUGCGAGCGUUGCCCGGAUUUAUUGGGCGUAAAGGGCGCGUAGGCGGCUCUGCACGUCCGUUGUGAAAUCGCCCGGCUCAACUGGGCGGGGUCAGCGGAUACGGCGGAGCUUGAGCAAGCUAGGGGGCAAUGGAAUUCCCGGUGUAGUGGUGGAAUGCGUAGAUAUUGGGAGGAACACCAGUGGCGAAGGCGGCGUCCUGGCCUGCGACUGACGCUGUGGCGCGAAAGCUAGGGGAGCGAACGGG